ensembl:lncRNA
GUACACUGUCAGUAAGAAAACAAAACACUGUUUGAACUCCUAUACUGAAGGCACCCAUUCACUGCAAAGGAUGAGCAUAAUUUCUCCAAAUCUGUUCUGAUGAAGAAAUGAACUCAUCUACAUCUUAUAUGGCCUGAAGUUGCAUGCUGGACUAAAGGAAGCAACACAAUCAAUAAUCUCCACAAGUGCAGGUCAUUGAGGGCACUGAGCGUAUCCUCCAGACGUGGCAUGACUUUCAAAGGACUGGCAUGCCUGCCACCUGAAGGUCGCAGGUUCACUUUUCCUGGAACAAAGCAAAUGAAAAGGAGAAGAUCAGAGACUGUCGAUCAUGGCGUGAAGUCCUUGUUUAUGUCUCAACAAAACUGACAGCAGAGCAUCACUCCAAACUUGAACCUAGGUCAGCCCAACUAUAAAUAGCCGUCUGUGUGAUAACACAGCCUGAAUGUCUGGCCAGAUUUGAUAUUAACUGGUUUAAUGUCUGAUCCCUAUAGAGACAGGUAAAUCUCUGUGGGUCAAUGGCAAAAUAUUUUUCAUCCCAAAUGACAAAACAAAAUACAAGCGUUUUAUCUUAUGACAGAAAUCAUUCUAACAUGCUAACAUUGGGUGUUUUUUAAUUAUCAAUGUGUAUUUUAAAAAAUGCAUGACAUUAUAAAAUUAAACUUUACAUGUAACACACUGAAUACACAUGAUAUGCAAGAUUCAACAGCCCCUCAAAAACUGUUGUAGGUACUUCAUUAACUGUUCAGUGUGUGAAACUCAUCAUGUUCUCUCCUGCUCUUCUGCUGCUCUGGGUUUCUGUUUUUCUCAUCAUGAGAACUGGCCUGCUCUUGUGUAAAGAGGAAACAAUUGAUACAAUGAGGGAGUAAACGUGGCGAGUUCAACCACAGGCCUUGAUAAUGUCACGAGGAUCUUUAAUACAUGUAAUAAAUUCUAUGUUUAACCUCAGUUAAAACUGAUGCAGUUAAACAUGUCCAUCCAUACAAACACAUACAUAUAUAUUAGGCUCCAAUAUCCCCAAAAACCCACAUAUAUCCAUCCAUUUUUCAAGCCGCUUGUCCUCGUGGGGAUACUGCAGUAUAUAUUUGAAAAAUUGCUAUCUCAUUCUAAGAUGACAUGCUUUAUCAUUGCUAUUUGGCCUGCUGUAACAUGUCUCUCUGGUUUCUAAAAUAACAUGUUGCUAUUAUUGAUAUUGCAUAAAUGCUAAUACCUGAAACCUGUAUAUAAAGUAUUAAAAAGGUAUUCAGAAUAUGCAAUGCAAACCACAGGCAAUAUAAAUGCAUUGCUUUGCAUGUUACUUCAUGCAAUACCGCAUAAAUCCAUACUGCAUUUGAAGUGAUUUUUUAUUGCAAAAAUAAAUUAAUGCAUUACAAUAUACUCAUUUCCAAGUGAAAAUAAAUUUGCUUUAAGAACUUUGCAAUAACAGUGGCCGUGUAGCAUAAGUCAUGCCUGUGCCGAUAUAAAUCUUGUAACCAAAUGAACUACGUAAAUGGGAAUUCCACCCAGUUUCAAUGUUUUUAAUAGUGAGUUCUUUAUCCUACAGCUGUUCAUGGGACGUAGGCAAAUAUGCUCUGCUCUGCCAAAGUCAGGAAUCAAGAGAUCCAUCCAUAACACCUUUUGGCUGUAAUGUUAAAGCCUCCCAGCUUGAGAGAAAUGGCUAGUUAGUAGUGUUGGUCCAAGGCCAAACAUAUCUCUGGACAAGACAGCUGUAUCAGGCUGAAACUUGGAUUUUCAGAGUCAGUAAAUGUGUAUUUUUUACCCUGAAAAUGAAGAGUUAAUUGUAUCUGUAAGGUGGUGACGUGCUGCCACAUAUUCUUAACUGUAGUUCAACGAUACACUUUAAAAAAUAAAGGUUCCCAGGUGAGUCUUUGCAGUCUGGAGUUACUAUACAGUUCUUUGGAGGUUAGAAAAGUUAUAGGUUUUUCAGCUCAACAUAAUGGUUUCUGGAGUCUUAAAAGCACCAGUAGUGCCUUCGCUGAUGUUUUUCUUACAAACUAGAGAAUACCCUAAAAUAAUUUUUGGGGGAAAAAAAAGGCGUAAAUCCCUUUUGAUUGUCACUGGAAAUAUAUUUUUGAAGGAAAGAAACAAAAUUUACUCACCCUCAGGCCAAGAUGUAGAUAUGUAUGUUUCUUCAUCAUUACCAAUUUGGAGAAAUUUAGCAUUACAACUCUUGCUCACCUAUGGAUCCUUUGCAGCGAAUGGGUGCAGUCAGAAUGAAAAACCAAACAGCUAAUAAAAAAUGUCACAAUAAUUUAUCUGAACUUUUCUAACUUUAACCUUAGUUUAUCUUUGAUGGUGAACUAUUCCUUUAAUAGUGAUGGUUGACAUUUUUUGAUUAGGGUUAGGGU